CCUACGGGCGGCAGCAGUGGGGAAUAUUGGACAAUGGGCGAAAGCCUGAUCCAGCCAUGCCGCGUGUGUGAAGAAGGCCUUCGGGUUGUAAAGCACUUUCAGUGGGGAAGAAAGCCUUGGGGCUAAUACCCUCGAGGAAGGACAUCACCCACAGAAGAAGCACCGGCUAACUCCGUGCCAGCAGCCGCGGUAAUACGGAGGGUGCGAGCGUUAAUCGGAAUUACUGGGCGUAAAGCGCGCGUAGGCGGUCUGAUAAGCCGGUUGUGAAAGCCCCGGGCUCAACCUGGGAACGGCAUCCGGAACUGUCAGGCUAGAGUGCAGGAGAGGAAGGUAGAAUUCCCGGUGUAGCGGUGAAAUGCGUAGAGAUCGGGAGGAAUACCAGUGGCGAAGGCGGCCUUCUGGACUGACACUGACGCUGAGGUGCGAAAGCGUGGGUAGCAAACAGGAUUAGAACCCGAGUAGUC
rnacentral:rRNA from 1 species